rnacentral:rRNA from 1 species
CACCGCGGUUAUACGAGUAACUCGAAUUAAUGCAUUUCGGCGUAAAGAGUGAUUUAAGGAUGACCUCCAACUACUAAAGUUAAGACCUCAUCAGACUGUUAUACUUAUUCAUGAGUGGAAUAAUCAACAACGAAAGUGACUUUAACCCACCAGGAGCCUUGAUUUCACGACAGUCGGGCCC